rnacentral:rRNA from 1 species
UGGGGAAUAUUGCACAAUGGGCGCAAGCCUGAUGCAGCGACGCCGCGUGAGGGAUGACGGCCUUCGGGUUGUAAACCUCUUUCACCCAUGACGAAGCGCAAGUGACGGUAGUGGGAGAAGAAGCACCGGCCAACUACGU